UUGCUGAAUUUCAGGAGCAGUAUCCACCUAAAACACAUUUACACAAACAUUUAUUGAGUAACUUUGUCAUAGUAUGUUCCUACACAGCAAAUGCCAGAGUGUUAAAAUCCCAGUUUACCAGAGUUUUGAUGACGAGAGUAGAAGAUUUUACACUUUGGAAUCAAAUGGGCCAAAGUACACUUUUCAGGUUGCACCAUAAUCUCUCUCUGGUGUUCUUCUAUGUAUAGUGUUAGUGGGGAGUUAUUGUAGUGUUUAUUUUACAAUGAUAAACUCCCUGAGAGUCUAUUUCUUGAUUGAGUCUUUCCCGGCCGCACCAAGAGUUAGGUUUCGAUUUCGUCAUCAUGCUCCUCGCCCUCUAAUUGGUUGAAUCCAGUCGCAUGAUCUGAGCCCUCAUUUUGCCGGAGUGCAGCCACCUCACUAACCGACGACGUCUGCCUCAACAGCCCCGUGGGACUGCAGUUGUGGAAGGUCUAAAGCUGUUCAACAAUGCUGUUCAAAGUACAGUACAAAGGAAAGAAGAAGUACGUCAAACUAAAUGGAGCCUCACACUCGGAAUUUCUCAAGAAGGCUAAAAUGAAGUUAAGUAUACCCACUGAAAAAGACAUAUAUGUGCUGGAUGACACUGGAACAGAGGUCGAUGAAGAGGUCUUCAGUGACAUUCUGGAGGAAAAAACAGACAUCCUGUGGCGAUUGUCGACACAUUUUCAGUCACUGGUAAGUGGUCAUUUGAUCAAAUUGUACUUUGCAAGAAAAAUCCGACACACGUUUCAUUAAAUUGCCAAUAAAGGUAUUAGGGUUGUCACGAUACCAAAUUUCUGUUUCGAUACCGAUACCAAUAUGUAUUUCGAUACUUUGAUACUUUUCGAUACUUUUUGUAAAAAAUAUUUCAUUAUAUUAUGUAUUGCCUCAAUGGGUUAUUUAAAUAUUUAAAGAAUGUAAUUACAUUUUUAAAAAUAUAUUUUUUA